rnacentral:misc_RNA from 1 species
GAUGAAGAACGCAGCGAAAUGCGAUAAGUAAUGUGAAUUGCAGAAUUCCGUGAAUCAUCGAAUCUUUGAACGCACAUUGCGCCCCCUGGUAUUCCGGGGGGCAUGCCUGUCCGAGCGUCAUUGCUGCCCUCAAGCACGGCUUGUGUGUUGGGCCUCCGUCCUCCUCCCGGGGGACGGGCCCGAAAGGCAGCGGCGGCACCGCGUCCGGUCCUCGAGCGUAUGGGGCUUCGUCACCCGCUCUUGUAGGCCCGGCCGGCGCUUGCCGACACAUCAAUCUUUUUUCCAGGUUGACCUCGGAUCAGGUAGGGAUACCCGCUGAACUUAAGCAUAUCAAUAAGCGGAGGA